UACGAAAAGACCAAUACAUCCCUGCCUUCUUUCACCCUCUCUAUCUUUCCUCCCACCGAUUACAUCCUCCUUCUUCCCUGAACUCCGCCGCACAAAACACCUCUCUGCCUCCAAAAACGAAAGGCUUCUCCGACGUUAAGAACAAUAACACAUCCACCGGAGCAUGACGCAAAACCUUCACCGGCGCCGCAGUUUUCAACUUCAAAACAACAACAUAAGUCUCGUAAUUCCGAUUCGCAGCAACAACACCAGUUUCCGGCAACACCAGUUUUUUUGAUCCAAAAUAAUGCCAUUUUCGCUACUAAAGUUGCUGUUCGGACUGAGAAAAGGGAAGAAAGAAGCCAAGGGUAAUUGUCAGGGGUAUUUUUAGUAUUUUCUCACGUGUCUGGUUUUAUUAAGGGCAAAAUGGUCAUUUUGGGCAUAAACGCUGAGUCAUCAAAGUCCUUACCCAGUCAGCUAAUGCCAUGUCAUUGCCACGUAAGUAAUCACUUGCCACAUGGGCGUUCAGAUGUAAUUAGGACCAAAUUUGGGAGGAUUAGUACCUGCAGGGUCUAAAAUUCAAUUGAGCCCAUUUUGCAGGGACUAUAGACAUAUUUAAGCCAAAUAAUAAUAAUCCUUAGUUGAUUUGUGUCUGGUACUUGUCUCAUUGCUAGCAAAUGCCAACAACAACCGGUCUACCACACGACAAGAUGGAUGGUGUGCCGCUAUCCUCAUUCGGCGGCGGCAGAAACGGAGGAAAUCCGACGCCGUUUGUUCAGAAGACGUAUGACAUGGUGGACGAUUCUGCGACAGAUGAUAUCAUCUCGUGGAGCCCUAUGAACAACAGCUUCAUCGUUUGGAACCCUCCUGAAUUCGCUGGGGUUCUCCUCCCAACCUAUUUCAAACACAACAAUUUCGCCAGCUUCAUUCGUCAGCUCAAUACCUAUGGAUUUCGAAAAAAGGAUUCGGAGCGUUGGGAGUUUGCUAAUGAGGAAUUUAUAAAAGAUCAAAAACAUCUUUUGAAGAAUAUACACCGUAGGAAACCUAUCCACAGUCAUAGUCAUCCUCCGGGUUCUGCUGUUGAUCCAGAAAGGGCAGCUUUUGAGAAAGAAAUAGAGAAGCUUUCCCAAGAGAAAAAUUAUCUUGAGUCCAGUGUCUUAAACUACAAGCAUCAUCAGUCAACAGCAAAGUUUCAGCUGGAUAAUUUCCAGCAGCUAUUGGAUGGCAUGGAGAUUAGGCAGACACGUGUGUUAAACUACUUUGAGAAGGCUCUUCAGAAUCCUACUUUUGUUGAUCGUCUUAAGCGCAAAAUUGAAUCCAUGGAUGCAGCGGCAUGUAAUAAGAAAAGGCGGUUGCCUCAUGUUGAUCAUGUGCAGCCUGUUGCUGCAGGUAGCUUGAUUGACAAUCAUAGCAAUUUUAGUCUAGGAUUUGAAAAUGUUUUCCAUCAAAAUUUCUUGAAUAAACUCAGACUGGAAUUGUCACCAUCUGUCUCAGAUAUGAACUUGGUAUCAGGUAGCACACACGUUUCAACUGAAAACGAGGAAAGCCUGCAGAAAAAUUUGUCUGAAGGAGAACUGACAGAAAUGCAGACAAGAACUGACGUUGCUUUUGCACCUGAAACAUUAGAGCUUGCAGAUCCUGGGGCAUCUUUUGCUUUUAACAUGGAUUCAUGUUUAUCACGACGAGCAACAACUACUAAGAGCCCAAAUCUUCAAUCUUUAGAGCCAAGUAGUAAAGAAGGUGAUAGUUAUAUAUCCCGCCAACUAAAUUUGACUCUGGCAUCCUGCACAUUAGAAUUCAACAGGAAUUCAUACUCGGCCAGGUCACCCCAGAUAGACUGUCAAAAAAUUGGCAAUAUGGCAGAAUCAAGGGUUAACGCCAGCGGUAAAGAAUCUGAAAUUGGAGUUUACUCAAAACGAAAUUUGGCUAACAAGGUUCUCAAUUUAGCUUCACCGCAGGAGGUUUCAGGUAGCAUCCAAGUCAAACCAGCUGCUCCAAAAAGAGUGAAUGACUUGUUUUGGGAACAGUUCCUCACUGAAUGACUUGUUUUGCAACACUUGUUAUACUACUGGUAUGUGAGACUCUCACAUUUAAUAUCAUGAAUGUGACUUGAAACUUGUUAACAAGUUGUGUUGCAAGGAGGCUGAAACUAUUUCAUGCAAAAAUAUGUUUAACCUUUUUAGACUGAAGCAUGCAUUGCCAGUUAGCUGUUUGACAGUCUUCUAGAUAUUCAAGCUCUUAAUUGUUUUCACAACAGUUUUGAAUAUGUACAAGUUUUGUAUUGUGAACUUAAAACGUCUUUGACUAUGCAGUUCUUAGUCAUGUUUGCUCAAAUAGCUCUACAGUUGUUGGGCCUUUUAGUUUAGAUAUUAAAAAAGAUUUAUAGCCAUGUAUGCAACUCUUGUCAGCCGAGAUGUGGAUUGCUGUUUGAUUCCAGAGUCACCAUUUUACCUUGAAGGACCAGGUGGGCUAUUAGAGGUCAUUCAUUCAGAAAAGAUUGAAAAAACAAGGACAUAUGG